GAUGAACGCUGGCGGCGUGCCUAAUACAUGCAAGUCGAGCGAACGGAUGAGAAGCUUGCUUCUCUGAUGUUAGCGGCGGACGGGUGAGUAACACGUGGAUAACCUACCUAUAAGACUGGGAUAACUUCGGGAAACCGGAGCUAAUACCGGAUAAUAUUUUGAACCGCAUGGUUCAAAAGUGAAAGACGGUCUUGCUGUCACUUAUAGAUGGAUCCGCGCUGCAUUAGCUAGUUGGUAAGGUAACGGCUUACCAAGGCAACGAUGCAUAGCCGACCUGAGAGGGUGAUCGGCCACACUGGAACUGAGACACGGUCCAGACUCCUACGGGAGGCAGCAGUAGGGAAUCUUCCGCAAUGGGCGAAAGCCUGACGGAGCAACGCCGCGUGAGUGAUGAAGGUCUUCGGAUCAUAAAACUCUGUUAUUAGGGAAGAACAUAUGUGUAAGUAACUGUGCACAUCUUGACGGUACCUAAUCAGAAAGCCACGGCUAACUACGUGCCAGCAGCCGCGGUAAUACGUAGGUGGCAAGCGUUAUCCGGAAUUAUUGGGCGUAAAGCGCGCGUAGGCGGUUUUUUAAGUCUGAUGUGAAAGCCCACGGCUCAACCGUGGAGGGUCAUUGGAAACUGGAAAACUUGAGUGCAGAAGAGGAAAGUGGAAUUCCAUGUGUAGCGGUGAAAUGCGCAGAGAUAUGGAGGAACACCAGUGGCGAAGGCGACUUUCUGGUCUGUAACUGACGCUGAUGUGCGAAAGCGUGGGGAUCAAACAGG
rnacentral:rRNA from 1 species